UAGGGAAUCUUCCACAAUGGACGCAAGUCUGAUGGAGCAACGCCGCGUGAGUGAAGAAGGUUUUCGGAUCGUAAAGCUCUGUUGUUGGUGAAGAAGGAUAGAGGCAGUAACUGGCUCUUAUUUGACGGUAAUCAACCAGAAAGUCACGGCUAACUACGUGCCAGCAGCCGCGGUAAUACGUAGGUGGCAAGCGUUGUCCGGAUUUAUUGGGCGUAAAGCGAGCGCAGGCGGAAUGAUAAGUCUGAUGUGAAAGCCCACGGCUCAACCGUGGAACUGCAUCGGAAACUGUCAUUCUUGAGUGCAGAAGAGGAGAGUGGAACUCCAUGUGUAGCGGUGGAAUGCGUAGAUAUAUGGAAGAACACCAGUGGCGAAGGCGGCUCUCUGGUCUGCAACUGACGCUGAGGCUCGAAAGCAUGGGUAGCGAACAGGAUUAGAUACCCUGGUAGUCCAUGCCGUAAACGAUGAGCGCUAGGUGUUGGGGACUUUCCGGUCCUCAGUGCCGCAGCAAACGCAUUAAGCGCUCCGCCUGGGGGAGUACGACCGCAAG
rnacentral:rRNA from 1 species